rnacentral:rRNA from 1 species
GUCCACGCCCUAAACGAUGUCUACUAGUUGUCGGGUCUUAAUUGACUUGGUAACGCAGCUAACGCGUGAAGUAGACCGCCUGGGGAGUACGGUCGCAAGAUUAAAACUCAAAGGAAUUGACGGGGACCCGCACAAGCGGUGGAUGAUGUGGAUUAAUUCGAUGCAACGCGAAAAACCUUACCUACCCUUGACAUGGAAGGAAUCCCUGAGAGAUUGGGGAGUGCUCGAAAGAGAACCUUUACACAGGUGCUGCAUGGCUGUCGU